rnacentral:lncRNA from 1 species
UGCAUGGAAUGCUAGUGGACCUUCGGGUUCUAGAGAAAGAGAUAUGAAAUUUCUACAUGGAAAUUAAGAGGACCUAAGAUGGGUGUGUCGCUUGGUCGCCGAUAUACUCCAUAAGAGAAGAGCUGUAUGAAGUGUAUUAUUUAUUUGUUAUAUACCUGUGUAUGGAAAUUUGCACGUAUCUUACUGGCUAUUUUUAAUACUCACUCUUACAUUAAUUUUUCAGAUUAGUUCGGGUCGAUUGGAACAGUGGAGAAUUGGUGAUGCAGACUGCCAAGUGGAUAAAGAAUAGAGAAAAAGAAAUAAGUUUGCC